rnacentral:lncRNA from 10 species
AGGUCCCAGCUGAGGAAGCCCUGUGGUCAGCUCAGACAGGGAUGCGGACUGAAGCCGAAGCAGGUGUUAGUAAUUGUCGUACCUACAGACGAGGAAACCGAGCCUCCAUGAAGUGAAGUGACUCACCCACAGUCACACAGCUAAUAUAUGCCAGAGCCCACAGCAGAACCCAGACGUACUGAGGCCAAGUUCCAUGCCAGCAUAAAACAGGCUCCAGUUCUCCCUGGAUUCCAGGAACACCAUCUCCUUCCUCGUCCCUUCCAUCCCAGGGAAGGUCUCCUGGUUCUUCUAGCCCCUCUAACUUCCUCUCAUCUCUCCUGUAACAACAAUGAUCAGAAUGAUACCUGAGGAAUAAACCAUAAGAAAAAUGA